CCUACGGGAGGCAGCAGUAGGGAAUUUUGCGCAAUGAGGGAAACCCUGAUGCAGCGACGCAGCGUGAGUGAAGAAGUAAUUCGGUAUGUAAACCGCUGUCAGCAGGGAAGAAAAUGACGGUACCUGAGUAAGAAGCCCCUGCUAACUACGUGCCAGCAGCCGCGGUAAUACGUAGGGGGCAAGCGUUAUCCGGAUUUACUGGGUGGAAAGGGAGCGUAGACGGCAGUGCAAGGCUGGAGUGAAAGGCGGGGGCUCAACCCCCGGACUGCUCUGGAAACUGUACGGCUGGAGUGCAGGAGAGGUAAGUGGAAUUCCUAGUGUAGCGGUGAAAUGCGUAGAUAUUAGGAGGAACACCAGUGGCGAAGGCGGCUUACUGGACUGUAACUGACGUUGAGGCUCGAAAGCGUGGGGAGCAAACAGGAUUAGAUACCCGAGUAGUC
rnacentral:rRNA from 1 species